UACGUAGGGUGCGAGCGUUAAUCGGAAUUACUGGGCGUAAAGCGUGCGCAGGCGGUUUUGUAAGCCAGAUGUGAAAUCCCCGGGCUCAACCUGGGAACUGCAUUUGUGACUGCAUGGCUAGAGUACGGUAGAGGGGGAUGGAAUUCCGCGUGUAGCAGUGAAAUGCGUAGAUAUGCGGAGGAACACCGAUGGCGAAGGCAAUCCCCUGGACCUGUACUGACGCUCAUGCACGAAGCGUGGGGAGCAAACAGG
rnacentral:rRNA from 1 species